rnacentral:rRNA from 1 species
GACGAACCGUGCGAACGUUAUUCGGAAUCACUGGGCUUAAAGCGCGUGUAGGCGGCCCGGAACGUCCGUCGCUGAAAUCCCCUAGCUCAACUAGGGAAGUGGCGUGGAUACGACCGGGCUGGAGGGGGGUAGGGGGGACGGGAACUCACGGUGGAGCGGUGAAAUGCGUUGAGAUCGUGAGGAACGCCCGUGGCGAAAGCGCGUCCCUGGACCCCACCUGACGCUGAGACGCGAAAGCCAGGGGAGCGAACGGG